rnacentral:ncRNA from 2 species
AUAUAAAUACAGGGGUGCUGUAGUGGCUGAGAGUAGUCUUUUUGACUUAACCCGUUUAACCUGAUACGGAUAAUGCCGGCGAAGGGAGUAUUUUUAUAAUAUUA